rnacentral:rRNA from 1 species
GUGUCAGCCGCCGCGGUAAUACGAAGGGGGCUAGCGUUGCUCGGAAUCACUGGGCGUAAAGGGCGCGUAGGCGGCUUAUCAAGUCGGGGGUGAAAGCCCGUGGCUCAACCACGGAAUGGCCUUCGAUACUGGUAGGCUUGAGACCGGAAGAGGACAGCGGAACUGCGAGUGUAGAGGUGAAAUUCGUAGAUAUUCGCAAGAACACCAGUGGCGAAGGCGGCUGUCUGGUCCGGUUCUGACGCUGAGGCGCGAAAGCGUGGGGAGCAAACAGGAUUAGAAACCCCCGUAGUCC